GUGGGGCCAAUGAUUGGGGUGAAGUCGUAACAAGGUAGCCGUAUCGGAAGGUGCGGCUGGAUCACCUCCUUUCUAAGGA
rnacentral:rRNA from 1 species